rnacentral:misc_RNA from 1 species
UCCGAGUUGACCCCGGCAGUCUCCUGCGAGUCCCCGCCAUUACGCGCUGGCAACACAGGACAAGGGUUGCGCUCGUUGCGGGACUUAACCCAACACCUCACGACACGAGCUGACGACAGCCAUGCACCACCUGUGAACCUGCCCCGAAGGGAAACCCUGUUUCCAGGGCGGUCAGGUACAUGUCAAACCCAGGUAAGGUUCUUCGCGUUGCAUCGAAUUAAUCCACAUGCUCCGCCGCUUGUGCGGGCCCCCGUCAAUUCCUUUGAGUUUUAGCCUUGCGGCCGUACUCCCCAGGCGGGGCGCUUAAUGCGUUAGCUACGGCACGGAUUCCGUGGAAUGAGUCCCACACCUAGCGCCCAACGUUUACGGUGUGGACUAC